CAACAGUCAGUUCCCCAAAUACAAGGUACAACUUGUAUCAUACACUGCCCAAUGAUAUUAAGAGUGCACUUUCUUCCCGGUUGCAAAUCAUUAAUGUCACAAAAGAGGUAUGCCUUCCCAGCAUAAUCUCACCUGCUUCUUUAUCAUUGAUGUUUUAUUUCUUGUUGAAUUAUGCUAAAUGGAAUUUUCUGUAGCUCCCCAUAAACUAGGUCAAUGAAACCUGAUUUUCCUCCAGACACUGUACUGCACCCAGAAGCAAUAGAUUUUGACAUCAUUGAUCUGUUGACUCGGCUUCACUAUUUGGUCACCUUAAUGCUAUGAGGCCAAUGCUCACAAGAUUCAAGAACUCCUAAGCGACUUGAUUUUCUGUCAAAGUUUGGCAUAUAGCAAGAGUUAGGGGGUUCACGUGUUUACAACUUUAGAACAACAUAUAGAUCUAAUGUUUUUGAUAUUAUUUAUGGAUGAACUAUAUGAUAAUAACAUUUUGUUGGUCAUUCUUUGCAGCUCAAUACUGAACAGAUUUCUUUUA
rnacentral:lncRNA from 1 species